rnacentral:tRNA from 1 species
GCCUGAGUGGCUCAGUCAGUUGAGCGUCCGACUUCAGCUCAGGUCACGAUCUUGCAGUCCGUGAGUUCGAGCCCCACGUCGGGCU